rnacentral:lncRNA from 1 species
CCUGCGCUCUAGGUCCUCUACCUGGUGGAUCUCAACCUCCAGGACUAGCGCUCCGUAGUUCUAGCUAUUCAUUGAGCAGAAUCAGUUGGAAUGAGCAUUCGCUCGACUAAGUCAGCAAAUUGUAAGAGAGCUCUCUUAUAACCUAUUGGAGGGUACAACAUGGGUGCGCUGUGAUGCCAGGACCGCUCUCUCUCUCUCUCUCUGCUGGGUCAGGUCGCCGGGCAAUGGAGGAUUUCCGGAUGGCAAAAGCCCAGCUUGUUACAGGGCCCCAAUGUUCCGAGAACGGGGAUAAGGGAAAAGGUACUUUUAAUCAGAGGUCCUUUUGUAUGUAAGUAAAUAUCCUAGCGAAAUGUACAAAAUUUCACCGGAACCUCUUCCUGGGACGAAACUGAACACUUCCACGAAACUGUCGAAAAAUAUUUUGCAUCUUCUCAUAAUUCCGUAUGUAAUAGUUGUUUUCGUGAAGCAAAGGCUUUUGUGAAAUUAUAAGUACAACAAGUUUAUCAGCUCUUAUCUCAUAAUUUAUUACGAAAACUUUACAUGUUAAUACGUGUUCUUGGACAUAUUAUGCAAAACAAUCUUACCUAAUUCUAGUUAACUUUGUAAUUGAAUAAAAAACUGAUAUAACGGAGGUGAAUAUGAAA